AGCGAUUGUUUCUAAAGCCAAAGUAGGAUUCAAACAUAAUGUUAUGUUUGCAUAUGAAAGAUAUUAAUAGUGUAUAGAUUAGCUUCCCCAGUAGUUUCGAAAACGUUGACAAAACAGAGAUUGGUCUAUAAUUACUAAUGUCAUUUUUAGAGCUUUUUUUAUAUACACCGAUAUGAAUUGAGCCCUUUUCAAGCCCUCAAGGAAUACUCAUAUAUCAAACACGAUAUGUGGCCAAGGGGGACCCUCCUAAUGUGAUGCUCUAGCUGCAUACCUUAAGGCUAUUGUGCCUACUUCACCCCCUGGAAAAAGAGAGGGGGACCCCCUUUGCCACAUGUCAUGCACCAAAUGAAUCUUCAACAUGUCAGAGAUUUAUUGAAAAUCACAGUCAGCAGUUUGGCCAGUGAAAUAUUUAGCCUGUUUGAUAAGAAAGAGCUCAAUUCAUCAAAUCCAGGAGCCUUUCCAGAAGGAAAUUUGUUCAGAUUGUCAACAAUCUCUUCUUGCAUAACCGGAGUAAAAAUGAAUGUAUUCGAACACCUAUUACCUAAAAAUGCAUCAAAGGGAGUAAUACACAACGACAGCUCACUUGCAAGUUUGCUCCUUAUGUCAACAAAAUACUUGUUUAAUAAUGGUAUCAGCGAUUUUUUUGCUAUCAGAGGUUUUGAUACUGCCAGUACAAAAAUAAGCAGGAAUACGGUUUUUUUGACUUUGCUUAUUGGGUAGUGAGCUAAUGAGUUUCCAGGUACCAUUAAGGUUACGACUCCUCUGUCUGCACAAACCCUAGCUUCUACAGUAUAAUUAGGAAUUUGGAUUAAAGGAUCAUGUAUGUCCUCCAACCAAGUUUCCGAAACCCCGAUGAAAGAAAAGCUCGUUUGCAAUAGCUGUACAUAAUUAACAAUAUUUGUUAUAUUUUUGUGCAGACUGCAAGCAUUAAUAUGCAGAAUUUUAGUAUUGGUGUUCAAAUGAAAAUUAUUCAGGAACUCAUCUUGGUCAUAAUAUCGACAGUGAAUUUCUGGUACUUGGAGAUUUAAUCUGGAUGUACAUUGGAAUCCGCAUUCAGGAAUUACGUGACUCAUACAAAUUGUUAUGCAGAAAAAACAAAAUGAGUAACACAAAGGUAAAAUAGGAAUAAACUUCUACGAUGUACACUCUUACACCAGAAUGCACAAGAUAAAAACAAAAAUACACAUUAUGUAAACAACAUACAUGCACUAGAUAUACAAACAAACAAUGAAGCUUGUGACAGAUCAUGCAACUCCACCAAGACGAUAUGAUUUGAACCGGCCAUUACGGACCUUGUAACGGAUGAGCAAAUGUGAGCGCGUCAUUCGCCGAUUCCACCUCGUGUCUGAUAGUAAAAAUGAUACGCAACCAGGUGACAGCAUAGCGGUGAGUAUCUACCUCGCUGCCGUGCGGUAGUUUUUUCUGGUAGCAUCAAGAAAUCCCUCUGGAACCCGCCGCGUAAAUUUGUGUUCUGUGUCAUGUAAUCUUUACGGAACCAGUCUGGAGUUGUACCCUAAUAACUAUUACAGUAAAGACCAAAAACGGGAUCAGCACCAGACUACUGAAGCCCUGUUUCUAUGCACAUCUGCACUCAACUGUCAUUACAUGGAAAUUUAGCAGCUGAGAAACAACAAUGGUGUCUCUCCUUACGCUCAGCUCUCAGCUUGGGUGUAACAUGGCCUGUGAUGAAAACGUGACCCUUGUACCUCUUGUCCUUGAGGUGUUUAGAAGCGUUGAGGAUGAAGUGUUGAUUUGCACACCGAAGAAGUCGACAGUAAAUAGGUCUUAGACGGGAACUACGUUUGUGUUUUGUGCGGGGUGUGUGUUCAAUUAAGUAUAUGGCAGGUGUAAAGAUGAUUGAAGGGUAUCCUCGAACGACAGUGCAAAAAUCAGGAUCAUAUGACGUUUGAUGAGUACUGUGGCUGUAUACUGGAUAUGAACAUAAUGUUGGUCUUUGC
rnacentral:lncRNA from 1 species